rnacentral:rRNA from 1 species
CCUACGGGAGGCAGCAGUGGGGAAUAUUGGUCAAUGGGCGCAAGCCUGACCCAGCAACGCCGCGUGAAGGAAGAACGCUUUCGGGUUGUAAACUUCUUUUAUCAGGGAGGAAACAAGUGACGGUACCUGCUGAAUAAGCCACGUCUAACUACGUGCCAGCAGCCGCGGUAAUACGUAGGUGGCAAGCGUUAUCCGGAUUUACUGGGUGUAAAGGGAGUGUAGGCGGGAGUGUAAGUCAGAUGUGAAAACUAUGGGCUCAACCCAUAUACUGCAUUUGAAACUGUCCUUCUUGAGUGCUGGGGAGGUAAGCGGAAUUCCGGGUGUAGCGGUGAAAUGCGUAGAUAUAAGGAGGAACACCAGUGGCGAAGGCGGAUUGCUGGACAGCAACUGACGCUGAGGCGCGAAAGCGUGGGGAGCAAACAGGAUUAGAUACCCUAGUAGUC